ACUAGUUUUUCCCUAAGGUGUCAUCCUGCCAUACCUCCUGUCUGACUUCAGAUUCAUGCAGAUACCACUGCUCAAGUUACUGCCUGCCAUUCAAAUGUGACAAAUAAACUGGAAUACAGCCUCCUCUAAGAGCCAAAGAUCCCGUUGCAAUAUAGCAAUUCUGAAACAACUGCAUGGUGCUGGGGCUAGCUGUUACCCUGAGAGCAUUCCCUAAACAGUUGCAGCUCCUUGCUUACCAUUUCUGAUGCAGAAUAAAGCAGUGCAAGGUCAAAGUUCUCAGCUCUUGUCACUUGGGUCUCUGUAGGCAAAAGCAAAUACCAGCAGGGAGGUCUAACAUGCAUUACUGCUGAUGCCAUUGGGAGGGCACGAUGCCUUACACUCUUAGUCACCAGUGGCUUGAUCAUAACACUCAUCAUUAGCAUGUGCUCAUUAUUGCUACCCUGCUCCUUCUGAGAGGUUACCAAAGAUGGCAUCAGAACAGGCCUCACCCUAGCUCUGACAUCAGAUGUUACAGCUUAAGGAUUCGGCUGUAGUUGCUAUUUGAGCAACUACCUGUUCCUCCACCACUGGGUACUGCAUAGCAGUCCAAUCAAAUUACCUAAGCUUUAGCUGUUGGUGUGCUGCACCGAGCCCACAGCUUCCUUACUAACCUACCAUGUAGUACAGUCUCUCCAGUCACUCGGGCCAUAAACAGGCUUGAGACAAUGAAUACUUAAAAUAUUCCACCCAUGCUUCCCUCUCACUACCUAAAGCAAAAAUCUUACAAAGAGUGGGAAGAUGAUGGUGGAUAAAUUGCAGUAAAUUCCCUAAUUGCAGUCAUAGUUAGGCCCUGGGAUCAGUGCAUCUUAAACUCUUACAACACUGCUGUUCCAAGCAGUAAGCUGGCCAACUGAACAUGCUCAGGGGUAUGUGAAAGAUGACAACAAUUGCACUCAAAGCCUGUCACAGCACCCAAGGCAAGGAGCUGACAGGAGCAAGCUGCCACCACACCUCCGUUCCCUCUGCUGUUGGAUUGAAUUAGCUAUGUCCCAGCCUGCUCCUUACAGUUUGCAACCAAAAAAGCUGCUGCAUGAGCAAAGCACAAACAAGUUUUGCAACAUGAGGAAGGGUAUUUUGAGAAAACCACCUUUCCCCCAGGAGCACAAAUCUGCCUGCAAUACAUGUAGGCAGGGCCAGGCCUUUUGCAGAAAGGCGCUGCUUAAGGGUGAAGUCACGUUUGUAUUUGUCUGUUUGAGCUGAACCAAAUCCCAAAAGCUGGGGCCCAGAAAAGGGGAAAUCGGGUCAUGGUCAGAUUAUGCUGGGGGGCGGGGGAAGAAAGGCAAAGCCACACUUUCCAUUCUGUUUUACAGGGCUUGGCUUUUUGCCCCAUGAAACUAGAAGUGAACAGGAAAUGAGAUCCUAGGCAGAGCACUGGGAACGAGGGGAGCAACCAGGGAGACCAGAAGAGUGAGGAGAACUCUUGGAGCCUUUCUUGUUGUAGGGCAGGGAGAGCUGGGCAGGAUGGCAAUGGCUGUGUUCUGGCCUCACAUGUACUUGGAGAACUCCUUGGAACAUUUAAGGGAGUCCUUUAACCUCAGUGAGGAAACAUGGCUGAAACUUUGCCCUCAUCCUCUAUGACUACAUGCAGGGACCUGCCCAUUUUAAGCCUUCAACUGGGAGAUUUUGCACCAUAACUCUCCCGUGGUUUUUUGGAAAAGCGCACACACAAGCCUAGCAGUGGUCUCUAUUCACCUGAGUUUAGCUGAACUCAACACAGGCAAAAGGAGAGCCAAGGCAUUCUGGUUCAUCACACCUAAUGUAGAAGUAUUCCUUACUCAAACAAACAAACCACCAAACUCAGGCCUUUCCUAUUUCACUUAGAGACUUUACUGCAGACUAACCCAGUUGCAUGCAAAGAGCUACAGGGCAGAGCCAUGCCUGGGUUGGAGUGCCCUUGCUAGUGGCUGCACACCCCCACACCCAGUGACACUACAACACCCAGGGGUCUAUCCCAAUGUUCCUUGGGUCAUACUAUCUGAGCCACAAUUCACUGAAAAAGACCUGGAAAGAAUGAGUCUCCUCCCAGAAGUAUGUGAAUUGUGUGUGAAAGCACUGAAGGACCUUCAGCACUUCCAUCAUUUAGCUUGUAGCCUCACUGCAAAGAGGACAUGCCAUGAAAACAUCACUAAACUUGCAAGAGAGGAGGCUUCACGUGUAGGUAGGAAGUGAAUGAGAUCCAUUACCUAACUACCAGUUGCAGCUAACUGAGCAGUGAAGACAGAUCAAGAACAGAAAAGAUGGGAGGAGAAAGAUCCAUCUUCUUUAAGCAGAACUAUGCACUACCUAUUUUACUUGGGAGGUGGCCUCAUACCACGUCUAACAGCCUGUAUGAAGAGAGAGGGGUAAUAAUGCUUUCUGUGUAGAACCCUGCUCCUUGCAGGUCUAUUUGUAGCACCUGACAAAGGAGGUGGUUCCUUACAAAAGCCCUGCCUUCUACCUUAUAUGAAAAGCACAAUUUUUACCCCAUUGCUCAGUGGGAGAUCUAGGUUCAAGUUUUUCUUUUGAGUGAGGGAAUUUGAACCUUUAAGGAAUCUCUUAAGAGCACAUCCAGCUGAAGUGGGCCCCCUCAACCCCUCCUGUUGGGGCAGGGACAGGAACCCAGGUCUUCCCCUUCUCAAUAAGGGGAGUCCCUUAACUACCAGCAGUCAUUUGCUCCCCCCUGCACCAAGUGCCCUCUCAUUACUUCGCACAACACAAAUUGCAAAGGGGCUCAAAAACUUCUGACCCAAACAGCUAUUGGACAAGUCUUUACCAGGAAGUGAUUAAAAGAAGUCCUCAGUGUGAUUUCCAGCUAGACUGAACUAAAGAUCAAGAGAUGGGCAAUAGGGAACACUCCUGCAGUAGCAGGCUGCUAGUGACCCAGUAAACCUCUGGCCCAUUAAACAUUUUACUGUACACAGAGGAAGAGAUCACAAAGCAGCUCAGGUGAUUCGACAGUUUGCAGGCACUGCCUUGUUGGAUGAUUGUUUCCUUCUCUCAGCACACCUGAAAGCAGUCUGCCAGCCAGUAGCACAGAUGCAAGGAAGGGCUGUAUUUUCACAGAUGCUUGUCCCUGGGUGCAAGGAGAACAAAGUGCUAAUGAACCAUCUCUGGGCAGUUGAUAGGAGAGUUGGGCAGCACUUGGAGAAAAAAGAAAACCAGUUAAAUUUACAAUAUGCACAGCUGUCCCUACCGCAGCACCCAGUGCCAUGCUGCUCCCCUGAACUCUACGGCACGAACUUCUUGCCUGUGUUGGUAACUGAGUUUGAAAACAGUAUAUAACCAGAGCUCAUAGGAAUUUGUUCAACAACACAUGACUGGCCAGUAUGGUGGUGAAAUGGCCAACCUGCAUUUCUAAUACAGUUUGAAUGCUGUCCAUGCUGUCUGUCCAAGCAGUUGGAAACAUAUUUAAACAGAGCAUUAUUUAAGAGAGUUUAAAAUCCAGGCUCUUAACUGCUUAAAGCUCGUUGUACUUGGAACAUCCCAACUGAUAGUUUUUGUACAAGCGGGGGCCUGUAGAAGUACAACCUAAUAUGGAGUCUUCCUAUUUUUGGUUCACUCAGACUCAAUAAGGCUGGAAGGCACAGCAUUAGAGACUGUUCUGUGAUGCCACUUCAGGUGAAUGAGUGCAGUGUCUUCAAAUAAGCUGCAGGUGUUUAUGGAACCCCAAAAUUCUGUCAGGACGAGGAGGAACAGCCUUCCAGCAUGGCUAUCAACAAAGAGAUCAACACUUUGGAGGACUGUCAUGACCUCAAGUCUACUGCAUCGCUCAGGUAUCUGCAAGGGCUCCACUGCAGAUUCCUGAUGAUUUACCAAAGAAGGAAAGCAACAUUGCCUAACCUGGAAUAAACCCUACUUUGAGCUCACUGCAAGGUCUCUGCAGCUGUCAUACAAUCCUUUUAAAAAGAUCUCUGUCUUGGUAAUGGAAAAAUUCCACAAUUUUCUGUAUAUGGAAGAUUGGAAUGGGCUAUGAGUGAAGCUGCUUCUGACAAUCUUGUCAGUGGUCUGAACCAUGUCUGUGUACAUUAGAAAAAUGUAGUUCAUUCAAUCCAGGGAAACUUAUUUUACAAACAGAAAAUAUCCCUGCUCUAAGUUUUCUUCAAAGCAUUUUUCAGCAGAGGUACUAGCCACAGCUAUGAUAGAUUGAAGGGCACAUGCUGCUGCAGGAGGUACACUCUCAGGUUUAUAGUUCAGUGUCACUUGCUCUGAAGCCCUUGCUCUCAUUUUCCAAUUUACUUUUAUUAAAGAGGAGAUUUAAAGCUCGUCUCGUUUUAAGCUAUAAAUUCCAAACCUCUAGGCUGCUCUUGAGUGAAUAUGGCUCUCUGAAUAUGACGUUAGGAUUCUGCUUCAUUCCAGAAAUGAUCAUCACAGGCUGUUUACACAGAUGUUUCCAGCCCUGUGACAAUUUACACAAAACUGCCCAGCCUUCUGCAUAUUUGAGUCAAAAAAGAAGGUGCUUAUUAUCCAGUCUGUAGCACUAGCUCAGCUUCAAACCCUUAUUUUAAAGGCAGGAAGAUGAGAUCUGCCAUUCCAUAACCAUGUUCCAUCUGUACCAAGACAGAAGUCAAACUAGAAGCAGCUGACACACAGCACAGAAUUAGCUACCUCUUAAAAGCAUUCAGGAAUGCAGCAGGGAGGGGAAUCUGGGACUUGAGUUUGUUUAAUUUCAAUAUAAUUAAUUUUCUAGGAUGAGGGAAGAGCCAAACAAGAAAACAGUUGUAGAGAAAUAAUACCCAUGCAAAACACGUAACGAGUGCUUGUUGAAUGACUUACCAUGACUUGUGCAGAAAUUUCCUCAUCUUCACAGUGAGAUCCUGUUAUCAAACAGGAUGACAUCACUACUUAUAGUGGCUAGAAGGAAAUCAGAUAUUGUUUUUAAAUAAUGCUUCUCCCCUUCAUAUCAACCAGUAUAGCCCCCCAAAUCCAUGUGUCAAGUAGCAGGAGCCACAAGCUCACACGUGCAUGCCCCAGAAUUGUUUCAUCAAAACACUUUAAUGUUGGCAUGAGGUGCAAAUUCUAGGGACCUUAGAAGUAAUUACUCUUUCAGUCAGUCAGUCAAAUAACAUAACCAGAACUGUUUGGUUAGAAAAAUUCACAUUUUAACAGACUCCUAGGUACAAAGCAGUCAACACACAAACUUUGACCAAUCACAACAGCAAAGGACAGGGUUUGUUUUUUUCUCUCUUUCUUUUCUUUUUUUUUUUUUUUUUAAGGAGCCAGGGCUUGGAAAAAUACAGCACACUAAUGAAACAAAGUGCAAAAAAUACAAAAAAAAAUAGAAAAUAGAAAAAAUGUAUUUACAAGUGGUACAUUACUAUGAUCAGAAAGCACAAAGACAAUUGCUGCUAUAAUACAUGCACUGGGUCAAGAAAACUAUUAAAAACCUGCAAGUGAGACGUUUGUAUUAGAGAGAGAGAGAGAGAGAGAAGAAAAGAAAAGAAAAGAAAAGAAAAAAGAAAGGGGUAAGGAAAGGGGCUUAAACAUUUUUCUUCCUUAGUCUGCUACAUUGAUCAAAAUCAAAUAACCUCCUAGAGUCCAUGAGUACAAUUGGUACAAAUACUACACUGUUUUUUAACUGCAGGUUCAAUUGUAGAAGGGAGAAAACAGUUGCUUAUUGUAGGUUCAUAUACAAGAAAGCCAUAUUAAACUGCUCUACAUGCUAAAAAUUACAGCAAGCCCCUGUCUGCUACGUAGCAUGAUCUUAGCAGGUUUUUCCUUUUUAUUUAUUCAUAUAUAUAUCUAUAUGCGUGUAUAUAUAUAUGUAUAAAAAUCGUGCCCUUGUUCACUGCAACAUGACAUCUGGGUGGAAAUGUAACUUGUUACAACAAAUUCUUAUAUGUAUACUGCAAGAAGUCACUCAAUGUCUGUGGAUUUAAUAAGUCACCUCACACCACAGGAAAUAUUUAAUAAAUCAAAAAACCCAAAAAACAAAACAAAAAAUCCAUAUAGUGACAGAAGAGCUUCUGUCUCAGUUCUCUUCAAAACUGAAGUCCAACAGGAAACUGGUCCCAAUGUACAUGAGGGUUCUCUGAAGAAGCUUCAGUUUGCUUAACUAUUUUUUCCUUUUAGUGUUCUCGAGUUUCUGAACAACUUCAGAUCGUUUUCAGUUUAAAAGUUUGUCUCCUCUCUUGCAAAGGUAACAGUCUGGUACUGAUCCGUAAGAGGGGAAGGAGCAAAGGGAGGUGGCUGCAGUCACACAAAGGGUCCCAUCUGCAGGGAUAAGAGGAAUCAAAUAGAGCUCCAAAACCUUUGCUUUUUUGUUUUUUCCUUUUUUAAUAUAAAGUCCAUUCAUACAAGUUCCAUAAACUGGCACCUUUCCCAGCACCAGUCCAGCUUUAGGUGACAAUAAAUGCUCAAGUUGAGAAAAGGACCAAGGCAGAAGUUCCAGUCACUUUCUAUCUGCUGCAUCAUACUUCCAGGAAACGGGAGCUGCUGGUCUUGGAGUGGAAGGGUUCAGACCACAUGCGACGAAGAUCGCCCUUUGGAACGGGAGGCAAGAAAGCAAAUUCAUUCAGAAGUUAUCAAACAGCCCAGGAUCUUCAAUGACUUUAAGCCCUGUGUGUUUAGGUGUCUUGUCUUAAGUUGUCAUAACGCAGGACAAAGCAGAGGAGAAGACCUGGCAUCACGAUGUCUCCAAUACCCAGCAUAGAGAAGUGGCUGCCUGUGGAACUGGAUAACCGUUCAGAUUGGGUGCAUGUCCGAGACACUGGA